UCGCCUGUUUAUCAAAAACAUAGCCCUAAGAAUUUAUUUAGGGUGAAGCCUGCCCAAUGAGUUUUUUUAAUGGCCGCGGUACUCUGACCGUGCUAAGGUAGCAUAAUCAAUUGACUUUUGAAUGAAGUCUGGAAUGAAAGGAAGAACGGGGCUUAGCUGUCUCAAUUUUUUUAUUUUUAAGUUACUAAUUAGGUGAAAAGGCCUAAAUAAGAUAAUAGACGAGAAGACCCUUAGAGCUUUAUAUAUGUUUUCGUUGGGGCGACGAAGGGUUAAAGUGAACACCCUGUUAGUAUACAAAGGGUUAACCAUAGGUAGAUAAGCUACCUGAGGGAUAACAGCAUAAUCUUUUUUAGGUUUGUGACCUCGAUGUUGGACUAGGGAACUUUUAGGUUAGCCGCUUAAAGGAAUAAUUCUGUUCGAAUAUUACCCCCUACGUGAUCUGAGUUCAGACCGGA
rnacentral:rRNA from 1 species